GGCUGGGGUUCCCUUCAAGACAGCGGAGCCUCUCCUGUCUUGUAAAGUCGGGUACGUAGGUGAAACUUUCUCUUUCUCCCGCUGCAGGGCAGUUCCAGAGCUCCUGCCGGCUCUAGAGCCAGAGCAAGGGCCAGCUCCGGGGCCAGAGGAAGCUCCAGCUGUAGUUCCACCGUCCGCGCCGGAGCUGGAGGCGGCCUCACCACCAGCAGCCUCACCUCCAGCAGCCUCACCUCCAUCGGCCUCUCCAGGGCCGGAGCGAGCGCCAUCAGCUUCAGCCCCAGUGCCAGCUUCUGAGCUGGAGCAAGAUGCGCCAUUGACUUUUGGACGAUCUCUGCCUCCAGCUGCCGAAGUCACCGCAGAAGCGAGCGCCGAGCUGAGAGAGGAGAGGCCUAAGCUGCUGGACUUCCCUCCGAAGCUGGUGGCCGAGCAGCUGACCCGGAUGGAUGCGGUGAGCAGCGGGGCUCUUGGGCUAGGUGGGGCCCGCCUUGGUGGGCCAUCAGCUGCCCCAGACCUCCUGUUCCCUCAGCCGCAAUCCAACGAUGUGGGUGCAAGUCACAGCUCCCCCACUCACCCACCGGGGAACCUGGGCCACCUUCUGGCCCCCAAGUCCUUGCUGUCCCCACAUGGACAGUAGAGAGCACACAAGGGCGGGCACCUGCUGGGCAGAGUGGCUGUGCGGAUGGAUGAGGUCGAACAGAGAGGAAGCGGGGCAGAGAAUAGCCCUCUGGUGGGGGAGGGAAGCUCACUGGAGUGCUGCCAAGUCCUGGGUCACUCACCCAUCGGCCCAGGAGGCCUCAACAGCCUCCGUACUUAUUAGACACCUAGUGCGUCCUUACCUACAUGGAAGACAGGCAAACAAAGCCCAUGGUUGUUGCUGCCUCGGGGGAACGUGCAGCUGAAAGGGGAGUGGGACCAGGGGGUGAUGAGAACGGGUGGAAGAUGCCCCUUGAGAUGGGCAGGUGUGAGCCGUGUUCUGGUGCUUGGGGGAAGCAAGACUGGGCUGCGAGCCAAUGGGACUUCUCUUCCCCGCCCCUAUUGGGUCCUCGGUCAUCCUGCGCUGGGCGGCCUCAGCGGACACAGACAAAACCCAGAGACUCCCAGAAGCUUCAGGCCACCUCCUCAGGAGCUGUUCAAGAAGGUGGAGCCCCGCCACUGCCUGGGUUUUGUGUGGUGCCAGCGGCCCAAUGGGAGCAAGGAGUACCUGGCUCCCACGGUUCGGGCCACUAUCAACCAGUUUCUUCACGUGUCCGGCUGCGUCAUCACGACGUGCCUUGGGGACCUCAGCAUGACGGCCCAGGACAGGGCCAGAGUCGUCGAGCUGUGGAUUCAGGUGGCCCAGGAGUGCCGAGUCCUUGGAAAUUAUGCGUCCCUGCGUGCCAUCGUGUCUGCUCUGGGAGCCCCUCCAUCAGCCGUCUGCAAAAGACAUGGGGACGAGUUGCCAGGAAGAGCUCUCGAAAGUUGAAGAGGUUCAUCAAAGACCAGUGGGUGAGCAGGAGGCAGCUGGUGAAGGUAAGACGGAGGCUGCACAUCUGGAAGGAGGGGGAGCGAGAGGGGAGGGGACCCGGCAGGAUGAGCUUUGGUUCUCCUGUCACGUGAAGUUGGUCAGGAAAAGAUGGACAGGAAGAGGGAUGUGCUAGCUCCAUGGGCAGGUGGGGGCAGUUUGGGACAGAGGCCAGGGCAUGGGAUAGAAUGGUGCGGGCUGGACUGUUCCAGGAGGCUGAGGACCUGGCAGAAGGUGCCGGUGUCUGGCUUCCAUGCUGCUCCAUCAGCUGCCCUGCAUCUUCCUCCUGGCCACUGGCUGGAGCGAGUGGGCGGGCUUCCUUUCUUCCGAAGUCAGCCCAGUCUGUGCUCAGGAAGCCAGGGCCCCACUGCUCCUUCUGUCUUCACUGUGCCUCGCAAGAAGGGCACCCUGCCUGCCUGAGGGAUGGGCACUGCCGGAUCCCACGGGCCGGGGGCACUCAGGGGCUUCCCAGCCUUGGGACGGACACUGGACCUGGGACAGAUCUGUGUCCCCUCGGUGACUCCCCACUCUGGCCCCUAAAGUGGGCGCUGCAGACAGUCCCAGUGGGAUGCUCACCCAGGUCCUUGUUGGCGAUGACAUGUGCCCCGGAGGGCAAGGGCAAGUGCCCAGGGAACUGAUGGCUUCUUCAGGGAUCCUUCCCGCCCAGACGUCAGAAGUUUCCUCGUAAAACAGAAAGGAAAUGCCACCCCGCAGUGCCCUGGUCGCCCCCUCCCCUGCUAGUCAGACGUGGCAUUCGGGGUCCCCAUCCUGAGCGGAUGAAGAAAGAAUUCUGUGCAGGGGAACUCCCUGAGGGGAUCCUAGGGAGCUGAGGGCUUUAGCAAGGCCUUGGCCUCGGCCUGGGAUCAGAGACUCCUGGGCGUUGGGGCUGGCAGAAGCCACUUGACCAGGCCUCCUGAGACACCUCAUCUCCCUCCAUCCGUGGCUCGGCCAGCUGGGGGCCCGA
rnacentral:lncRNA from 1 species